UCAUAUGCUUGUCUCAAAGAUUAAGCCAUGCAUGUGUAAGCACAGGCCUUUAACACGGCGAAGCUGCGAAUGGCUCAUUAGAUCGGCUAGUAUUUAUUAGAUCAUACCACACUACUUGGAUAACUGUGGUAAUUCUAGAGCUAAUACAUGCAACACUGCCCUGACCGCGAGGGAGGGGCGAGUUUAUUAGAUCAAAACCAACCGGUCCGCAAGGGCCGAGCCCGUUGGUGACUCAGGAUAACUUUGGUCUGAUCGCAUGGCCUUGCGCCGGCGACGUAUCUUUCAAAUGUCCGCCCUAUCAAGUUUCGUAUGUCGGUGCUAUGCCCACAUAGCUUCUUACGGGUAACGGGGAAUCAGGGUUCGAUUCCGGAGAGGGAGCCUA
rnacentral:rRNA from 1 species